UACGUAGGUGGCAAGCGUUGUCCGGAUUUAUUGGGUUUAAAGGGUGCGUAGGCGGCCCUGUAAGUCAGUGCUGAAAUAUCCCGGCUUAACCGGGAGGGUGGCAUUGAUACUGCAGGGCUUGAGUGAAGUCGAGGUAGGCGGAAUUGACGGUGUAGCGGUGAAAUGCUUAGAUAUCGUCAAGAACACCGAUAGUGAAGACAGCUUACUAGGCUUAUACUGACGCUGAGGCACGAAAGCUAGGGGAGCGAACGGG
rnacentral:rRNA from 1 species